GUGUUUACAUCAGCAGCACAUAUACUAAAAUUAGGAUGAUACAGAGAGGAUUAGCAUGGCCCCAUGUGAAAGGAUGACACACAAAUUCUUUCCAAAAAAAAGAAUUGU